GUUGUCGCGUAUCCUAACGGGCUUUGCGACAGCCGUUGUUUAAACCGACCUAUUUAUUUUUUAGGAGAUCAAUAGUGGCCCGUAUUGCUGGCAUUAAUGUGCCUGAU
rnacentral:sRNA from 1 species